AGAGUUCGAUUAUGGCUCAGGAUGAACGCUAGCUACAGGCUUAACACAUGCAAGUCGAGGGGCAGCAUUUUUCUAGCAAUAGAAGAGAUGGCGACCGGCGCACGGGUGAGUAACACGUAUCCAACCUGCCGAUAACUCCGGAAUAGCCUUUCGAAAGAAAGAUUAAUACCGGAUGGCAUACGAAUAUCGCAUGAUAUUUUUAUUAAAGAAUUUCGGUUAUCGAUGGGGAUGCGUUCCAUUAGUUUGUUGGCGGGGUAACGGCCCACCAAGACUACGAUGGAUAGGGGUUCUGAGAGGAAGGUCCCCCACAUUGGAACUGAGACACGGUCCAA
rnacentral:rRNA from 1 species